GUGCGGGUGUCUGUGUGUGUGUGUCUGUGUGUGUGUGUGUUGGGGGCAAAAUCUGCCUAAGAGGUACAUUCAAAUUAGGCCCUUGAAAAGUUCAGCCCGAUUAUCAACACAUAAAUCACUAGAAAAGGAAUUAAAAAGUGAAUAGGAGGGAGAGGGGAGGGGAAAAAAAACAACAAACACUGAAUGUCAUGCUGGUUUCAAAUAUCCACAUCUCAAGCCUCUCACCGCAGGAGUUCCAAAGUAUAAUAACUUUACCACCAUCAUCACCACCAAGAGAAAUAUCGGGGAUGCUUUCCAAUAUCUUUUUUAAUUACUUAGACUAAUUUGAUCAUUACAAGCUACGGAAUCUCUAUAAAAUACAAGAGCACGGGAAAUAAUUAAAGUGACAGCAUGUGCAUUAGUAAAGUAAAAAAAUAAAUUAAAUAAAUAAAAAAGAGGUAGCAGAACCUGAAGAGCCCUGGCUCCGGUUAGUGAGCUCCAGAGAUCCGUUUGAGUGGGGUGAGAGAGAGGAAAGGAUGGAGAGAGGCCAAGGAGGGAGAAGCAGAGCAGAGAGGGUGGAAUUAUGCCCUUAAUGGGGACCAGAUGUAGCGAGGACUGGGUCAUUAUUAAGAGCUGUAGCACAGGCCUUGGCGAGAUAGGAGCGCUGUCUAACAGUGGUCAGUCUGUGGUCGUCCUAACAACCACAGCCACAUUACGACCGGGACCAACCAGGGAUUACAGACUUAACACACUGCUUUGACAUCCCGGCUGUGAUAUUCGGAAACAGUGUAUUUUAAUUACAGCAAUGGGUCACUUGGUUUAGUCAUCAUUGAGAAGAAGCAACUCUUUAUCUUUUUGGUCUGUGUCCACCCAUAAUGCACAGUCACAUGCCGACCUUAGUGGGCUUCAGUAAUUCCCAUGACGGCAUAAGUGCAGGGUUUUUAAGCGCGGAUAUUCCUUGUAGAGUCCCACCAGGGCAGCGCCUGCCUAGCGCCUAUAUUCAGCCAUCACUCAGCGGGGAACAAUUUCGGCCUGAUCCUCGGCCAACUGAAUUAAGGAAACUCGAGCCCGUUCAGAUGGUAAUCAAGAAAAAAAUAAUCAGCGACGGACAAAGGCCCGCGCUAUUACUGUGCCGGCUUAACAUUUUUCUCAAUCUCUUCUCUCCACAGUCUCAGAGAACACAAACACAGGCCAAGGGAAAGUGACCAAUCCUGCUGAUUAAUGUGUUCGCCUUAUCAUUUCUCUCUCCAAAAGCUCAAGCGCAGUCCCAGCCUUAGAGCCUCGGCCUCGGCCUCGAGCCCCAAACCCUGGUGAGUUUCUCGGCCUCUGCACAGCCGCUAAUGAGCUAAUCACCUGAGGGGAUUCUUCUCAGCUUACUUAAACAAGUGGGGAGUUAAACACACAUGCUUCAGAAAGUGCCCGGGUGUGUGUGACCCGUAGCCAAACGAACCGCCACCUCCAGCAGGCAACCCAAACAAGACAGCAUCUGUUCUAGUCGGGCCUAACAGGGUUAUACCUGGAGACCAUUAGCAGAACUGGAGCCGGUCCAGAACUGGCCCACUGUCUGCUGUUCUCCGAGGCACCUACCUUAAUGUGGUCAAGAGGGGAAGGACAAAUCUAAACGCAGUAGAUUUUUCUUUCAAGGAAUUUUGUGAAUUGGUGGUUGUUUUUCUAUUCACGGCAAGAGAAAAUGUAACUAUAGUUUAUUCUUUUUUCCCUAUGAAAGGCAAACAUACAUUAGGCGAAUAUCGCAUCUUGCCUCUAUACGUAUAGUGAUGUAAAUGCCUUAUUUUAGCUUAGUAUAUUUUCUGAGGGUCUACUUCAAGGUUCCCUUAAUGAACAUUAGUUGGUUAAAUAUCAUCAUCUCAAGGGACUAACCUGGGGAAAUAAAGGUAAAAAAAGUCAAAUCAAGGCAUGAGUUUCUUGUUUAAUUAUGUUAACAAAUGAAGUAUGCUUCAAUUCAUUAAAACAUUAACAAACCAUUCAUUUCAGCAUCCCAAAAGGGCUAUAAGGUACAGUAGUAAAUCCUUUAUUCUUGAUUCCUGCUGGCUGUAAUUAAUGGAAAUUAGUGGAAACUUGAAGUGCUGAAGUCCUAAUAUGAGAGAUAUUUUAGUAAUUUCAGCUCAAUUCCAUAUGAUAUUAAACAUCUCUAAAUAUUGAUGAAAUGGCAGUACCUAUAUGAGCCAGAGCUGAGUCAUACAUCUGUUCGAACUCAGUGAGGUGAGGUAAGGUAAAGUAAGGUAACCUCCGCCAAACUGAAUACCUGUCUGGAUAUUUACGUCUUCAUUUCUAAUCCACAACCCCUCACUGAUCACACACAGCCUCCCAUGACCACAGCCAAUGUGCAGAGACGUGCACUUUACCGUCAGUCAUUGUCGGUCAGUUUGCCAGGAGCAAGCUGAAAUCUCUGAAUGGUUCUGAUUACAAGCUGGGCUUGCUUUCAGUGUCGCUGAUUAUACAGUCUCACCAAUUCUCAUCUCUGGCUCUUAUUCAAAGCUGAUAGUGGCCUCACUUCCCCUCUCGACCUCCCAGAAAAGUUCUGUUUUUACUCUUGCCAUGUUCAUACAGGAAAGCAAGGUUAGCCCGGUCUACCUUGAGUCUGUUUAAUAAAUAAUGUUAAAUAAUAACAAGUAGUCUAUAGAAAACAAAAACGUUUAAAAACAUUGACCGGUAUGUAGCCUUGAUUUUACGAUGAGGUGUAGUAACAUUUUGAAGCAAAGGAACACUUUCAUGAUACAGUGACUACACCCUAUCUUCAGGUAACACUCAGUAAUGACCUAAAAUACAUUGUAAUGAACUGUACGUGAAUUCUAUUCUAUUUCUAUUCAAUUCCAUAUAUCACACAGACAUACAGCUUUAAGCUAAGAGCGAGAGGUGUUAUGAUGCAUAUCGUACGUGCAGUGUUAUGGGGCUUUAUAAACGUAUUUUAUGAGCUUGAAUGAAUGUAUUGUAUGUAUGUACAUAUAUAUAUAAUUUAUAUACAAACAUGGUUAUUGUCCAGAGAAAGGGUUGGGUAUCGUUUUACAGAAAAAAAACCUACGGUGAUAUUUCUUGCUUCUUGCAAUCUGUCUGGACUGUGGAAAUACAAUCCUUAAAGAAUAUAAAACUUCCUCAUUGCUUUAAAAAUGAAUGAUCUUCAUCUUUGUUUCUUCUAUGCAUUUUUUCAAUGAUUCACUAUUCCCGUUGGCCCAAAGUGUUGUAUUAAUGACGAACAGAGAGCAGUUGGGUUAGGCGUACUGGCAGCAGCUUUCUCCUUGUGAUAAAUGGCCACUGCAACUAACCAAUGACCCUAGAAAGCUCCACAUGCAAAAUCCUGAUGCAAUGCAAAAAAAAUAAAACUGACCAAACUUAAUAAUAUAAAGGAAAGUUGUGCUGUCCUGUGUGUUUUCAAGGACAUGUAACGCAGUUGACCGGAGAGCCAAUACCCAGGACACACACAAGCACCCUUGGGUUAUGACUAAUCGGACAGGGGUACGCUUCCAACGCUAUUUUCUUUUCAGUGGAAAUUGCUCCCUUUUUCAAGAUAAGAUCACAGCUGAUCCUAAUUCAGACCAAUUGCUUGACUGACCCUUCAGGUAAAGUGGUGGAGAUGUUUACAACCCCUCCACAGAUCAUUAGGAGUGCCCUCGUGGGUCUGGAGGUUGAGGGACUGUCCACAGGCAUGGUGAGGGGGAAGGCAUGGAGUCUCUGUUUGCCGCUAUGAGUCAUAGACUGUUUCUUACAGAGAGGUUUGAUUGCACUUCAAGCUUUUUUUAGUUGCCAUUUUAUAAGGUCUUGCUAAUAUGCUUACUUAAGGACACUUCAUUCUCACACUUCAGUUCAGUUCACGACUGCCUCCUCACCUUGACAGAGACUACAUAUAAAGUGCAUCCUACACAUAUUAUCCAGUUGUAAUGGUUUUGUGACUCUGUGAGCAAAACAAGUAAUGCACUCCUAUAGGCAAACAUUAAUUGCACAAUGGCAAGCACACACACAUCAUCACCGGGUCCAAACUUAUUGCUAUUUUUGGCCAUAUAAUUGAAUGUGUAUACGGGUUCAGUGAAGUGAAAUAUGAACAGGAAGAUAUGGCAAUGAAGCGAUGUCUUCUCAGCCAAUCACAGAAAAGGAGAUGCAUGUGGUGAGGAUGUGCUGGCAAGCCAACCACGAGCCAUCGCACUUAGGCUAUGAAAUCAUCAUCGUGAUGAAAUUAUAUAGUGUUAUGGUUGCGAUUGGUAAAAGUCAGGCUGUGAAAACAAACCUGGUUAAAAUUUUAAUUACAAGAAUGCAAUUAACAAACAAUUGAAAAUGAAAUUAAGAUUGUUUUAAUUAAAAUACGUGUAAGUUGAAUACUGGCCAACAUUUCAACUGUUAUAUCCCACACCAAUCCAGAGGCUCCUUUAAUUAGCACUGGGUUUAUUGCUAAGCUAAUGUGGGUCUUUUAGGCUUCAUGUGAAAUUACUAUACCUAUUAUUGGUUCAUAUUUUACUACCCCAAUUAUACUGUAUAUAUGGAGACAGUAACCCUGCAAUCCCUGCAGAGGGUACAGUGUCCAGAGCGUAACUACGUAUAGUGAGGUCUCUAUAUGCUGUUGUACGAAUGAAAACAGGGUUCCUCAUGGCAUACAGUAACUCCUGAAAUUCAUCAACAUGAAAUAAUUGCUUGAAGGACACCAGAUUCAUCUAUUCACCACUGUAGAGAUUGUCUGAUAUUUACUCAUGUUUUUAUUUUUUAAUUUUGAACCAAAAUCAGAAGAGAUGGCAGUGACAUCUCAUUCAUCUUCUAUCAAGAUCGCCAGUCCUAUAAUACCUCCAGUGAUAGUUUAUGAGGGCAGUCACAAAAGCUCUAUUCGACAUUCCUGUUAUUUAUAAUGAUAAAGAUUUAAUAAGUAUUAUUACAGUGGUAUUUCAAAUCAUUUCUAAAUCCAUCCACUGCAGAUGCCAUGACAUACAAUUUUAAUCUGGUAACUGUCAGUCUUUCCGACUUAAAUUAAAUGUUUAUAAAUACAUGAAAUUCCUCCGGUAAGAAACCUCACUGUAGCUAAUCCCUUUGUUUUUGCCUGUCUCCGAAUUAUAAACUGCUCAUUCCCCAUCUAUAAAGGAGGCGGCUUUUCCUGAAGACCUGUUACAGUAACCAUCUUAAAAUCAAGCGCUGAAGCACGUCAUUCUCAACACGCCACAGGGAAGUUCUAAAACUAAAUAGUUUUGUUUCAGCUAGAACUGAAUACAAUCUUUGUCUGGAUUAUCAGUAUCCUUCUCACUAGAUGUCAUUUGGAGAACAUUCGACCCCUCAGUCCCCGCAAAUCAUAUAUAUGCUUUUUUUUCUUUUUUUUGGUAAAUGACUGUCUGACCAUCUGCUGUUCCAAUAACAAACAAACUGUUUGACCCUUAGCUUUAUGACCCCAAAACCUUUUCCAGGCCAACAAUCCCUCCCAAUCUUCCCAAGCGGUGUUUGGGUGUGCUAGCCUGUGACUGCAGUAGUGUUUGGGUGUGCUAGCCUGUAGUGUUUGGGUGUGUUAGCCUGUUACUGAUUGAGGUUGUGUGUUUUGAUCAUCAUUAAACUAGAUUCAUCCUUCAUAUCCCUAUCUGUUUAACAUGUAGCAACACAAUAGCGAUUCAUUUCUAAACAUUGUUUUCUGUGUUUCAAAAGGCCCGUAGAAUCUGGACAUCUCAACAGUUGACACACAGAGGACAAUGAUGUUGACACCACAGCAGGAAAUGAAGACGGGUGUUAAUGAACCAGACACACUGCUAUUACCAAUUAAUGCAAAACUAAAUCAUGCAAUGCUAAUAAUAAUCCUAACAACAGGAACGUCAGGAAAUUAUAAUCAUCAAGACAAGCUCGGGUCUUGAAGAAUGGGGUGCAUUUCAUAAGUGUGAGCUUAGUGCUCUGACAGUGUGGAGUGGAUGAGGUCUGAGAAUAUUCUCCCAUUUCAAUCGAUACGCUCAGGUUUUCAUGGCAUAUACUCUGUUUCUCCUUCAGCACGCCGAGGAUCAAACCUCAUUCAGCAUUCAACAUUGGACAGCACUGCUAUGAGUCUAGAUUUUAGACGUAAAAUAUAGUAUGCUUUGAAAAGAGAGGAUUUGGUUUGCUUCCUCUCUUUUGGUCUGUGUGCUUUUAGUCUUUUAGUUUCUGUCACUGAUGUCAACAGCAAGAGGAAAUACUCUAAUAGAUAACAGCACAGGACAGCUAAAUAACACACAGCCUCAAAAUAGCUUUGCCCGUUUUAAUUGCAUGUAGAGCAUGACAGGUACAUAUGGAAGGUUACAGAGAAACAGCCGUUUGUGACGGACACAGUUAUUAAUAUGAAACCACAAUACAAUCCUAGCCAUUGAUUCAUGUAAUUACUAAAUAUCAGUGUGACUCUUUGUUACUCAGAAUAUUACAGUUUACACAACAUGCUCACACUGUACCUAAACCCUAAGAUGCAGACAAUUUAUAUUUAACGUAUAUCCGUUAUAUUAUGUAAUUUUACUUUAUUUCAAGAGAAAACAUGUAUGUUUCUGAAUGGCAUCUUGUACAAAUGGUGCUUUUGUACAAAACUUCCAUAAUACCUAAUAAUAAUAAUAAAAACAAAAACAGGGCACUUCCUGUCCAUUCAUGUUCAAACAACACUGACUAGGGAUGAGGCUGAGGCUGAGGUUGAGGCGGAGUCCAAGUCAGAAUCACACACAUAUGCAGUCUCUCCAUUCCUCUCCACAGGUGCUCUUCCCCCACAGCUGGGGUUCUGUAUUCUAACGGAUGGAUACAACAGAGCCGCAGCCUCUGUGUCUGCUAUUUGGGCUGCUGAACAAGCCCGGGACCAGUCAGAACGGUUUAGCAAAGCAUGCACCUAAAUCCAGUUUUGUGCCGUUCAACAAUAGUAUUGGAAGUAAUCCCUCUUCAUGGGGUCUGAUACCCCUGCCACAGCUAGCCGAUAGCCAUGCUGAGAUGAAGCGUUUGCGAGUGACAACUCCACAAAGCUGUCAUUUCGGGGUGCAGUUGGGGUGCCGGGCUGUGCACUGCUGGGCGUGGAAUCUGCAUUUGGAGGGACAUAAUGGGGAAGAGCGGGGCGCUCACAAUGAGCGCCUGGGUGUUGAGGCCACAUCAGUUUUCUGUGUGACCACCCAUCACAUCCCCCGGCUCCCCCGGCUCACGGCGGGCCCGGCGCACCAGUGGCCUUCAAGCGCUGACAGCUGGGCUGAGGUAUUCAUACGGAGCGGCCCUGCAGCUCUCAAUGGGAGAGCCGCUGGCUGCUGGACACGGAGACAAGGUGUUGAAAACAAGCUGAUGCUGCUGUCCAUCUUCUGCUGCCGCUGCUGCUGCUGCUGCUGCUCCACUGAAAGCUCUCUGGAUGAUUUUUGUGUGUGGAUAGACAGCAAAUUGGGUUCGCCUGUCGCUAGUUUCUAACCCUAUUCAUUUAAAAAGGACUGAAAAGUAAUAAUAAUAAUAAUGAUAAUAAUAAUAAAACAUCAAUAUUACUACUACUACUAAUAAUAAUACUAUUAUAAAUAGUGUGAUGUUAUAAAGUGAAUAGGAAUGAUUAAAUAAAUGCAUAACAUGUGCUAUUUGUAAUUUCCACUCCGUGAAGUUGUUAUUAUCAUCAACAUUAUUAAUGUAAUAAUAAUUAUAAUAAUAAUGAAUAUUAUUAUUAAUAAACAUUAUUAUUAUUAUAACAAUAAUAAUAAUAAUAAUAAUAAUAAUAAUACAAUAAUAACAGUUAUAGUGUUGAUAUUUAUGAAUUAUUUUUUUUCUAUUUAUUUAUUUUGAAAUGUUUACAGUACAUUUGCCUUUCAUUGCCAUGGUAGAUAAUUUAGUGGUUAUCAAUAACUGAACUCCGAUUAUGCCUACUUCAUAAAUGGAGGUUCAUAUUUUAAAUCGAGCAGAUGUUUUCCUGCAUUGUGGGCUUUUAAAAUUCAAACCAUGGGAAAUGUAUUCCGAAAGUAUUUUUUUUUGACUCACAUGGUGUUUACCAACAGGUCUGUAUUAUAUAGUAGUAACAAAUUCAAGUAAAUAAAUCUUUUUGUUGUGAUUAAUUCCAAUUAAUUGUCAAAAUGGGAAACCUAGUUUCUGGCUUUGGUAUAGAUAAUGUGUGUUUCUGUGCUAGUUCAUACUCCAGCUCUUUCUUAAUUAGUCUGAAGUUAUUUCAUUAGUAUCAGUUGGGUAAACAUUUGCAUGUCACACGAUUUCUGAAACCUUUCACUCAAACAGCAAAACCUCAUUCCAAAUGUGUAAAACCAGAAGCUAAUUUUCAUCUUUUCAAUUUCUUAAAACACUUUUGGCAAAACAUUAUAUAAAAAGUUCACUUUCUAAGACACAACAGACAGACGACAAACACUUGUAUGCCUUUUAAAGGCACUGCCCUUAUGCAGGACACACCAGCUCCAUAGGAACAUUGGAUGCGAUGUUAAUGAGUUGCUGUGACAAGAUCCAAAUAGGAGGCUGGGUAAGACGUUUUCACUGACACCUGAAACUCAUGUACCAAAUUCCUAAACCAAAUCUGCAAAACUGCAAGCAUCAUUUCUCCUUUACACCCAGUUUUCAAUUCUACACAUCACACUUUUUUGUUCCUUUGGAAAGCAACGCCAAGCACGACGCCAAGCACUGUGCCAAUCACCGCGCCAAGCAUUUUUUAACCAACUGGCAGCGCUCACUCCUCACAGGUGUGGACACGAGUUGCUUAAUCGUUUACCUAGAAGUGAGAGCUUAAGCGCCAUACAAGGGCCCCAUGUGAGCUCUCCUCUUUUGGAGAUCAACGGAGGUCACUGGUGAAGCAGCAGGAGCUAGAGGUUAAGGAGUGAGAGGAAGAGGAAGAGGAAGGAGAGCAGGACGAGGACAGGGACGAGGACGAACCUGGAGACGACCAUCUGAAGAACCGGGAGAUGACCGGGCCAUGGUGGAAGACACAAGCUGGUCACACCAGAACAGGAGACUGUGAGAAAUCCAGAACCACGUAAAUGCAGACAACACAGUAUUCAUUAACAUUCACCAGGUGGGCUUGUCUGCAUUGGACUGUGUAUGACAGAACAACCGAAACAAGUCUACAGGGGGCCAAUCAACAUUAUUGGCCUCCAUGCCAUUGUGAAUGUCCCUGGACAGCGUGGAGGGAACAUCAUCAUGUGCACAGCAGUAAGCCAACAAGGCGCCCUCCAGCGCCAGGCCAACCUAGGUCCCUACAACACUGCUUUUCUCAUCAGUUUCCUGGACACACUGCAUGGCAUCCUCACUCCAGCCAAGCAGAGGGGUGGACCAGAGAAGCCCAGGUAUGUCUUCAUCUGGGACAACAUGACUCUCUACCGGGCAGCUCUGAUCUGCAACUCGUUCAUCGACCUCCCACAAUGUAUUACUAUGACUCCCACCAUAUUCCCCAUUCUUAAAUCCAACUAAAGAGUUUAUUGAGUGUAUGACCACCAUCCCCUCUCACGCAUGCCUUAUCCCCUGGCAAUGGAGGAUGCCUGAGGUGAAGAAAUCUCUUCUCAUGGAAAAUCAACUCUUGCCUGAUAUACACGAGGCUACUCAUUGCAUGUAGGUACCAUAGAGAAGGCGCAGUAUGGAUGUAAGUGACGUGGGAAGUACUGAUGCUGUGGGUGUUACUUCAUUCAUCUUAUGUCCAUACUUUAACGCUUAUGGAAUGUGCGGAUAUGGAAACAGAGCAUCAACAACACCCCAUUGGUUAAUUUACUUCCUUCUACGUGUUUGACAUGGAACAUUGAGUAAUGGUAGCCAGUGGAUUCAGUGCUGUGAGUGAAUCGCACUUCCUGACACCUUAAGAGACAUGCUAGCGACAGGCGCUUUAGCCUCUUAUGCCCAAGAUUGCAAGUUCAAGUCCAGUGUGUUGUGUGGACAAGCACAGUCCUGUAGUAGACCUGAACUCGCAUUGAUGAGAAUAGGAAUGCCCAUUCCACUCUUUCAAACUCUAUGGCUGGUACUCCACGCUUUAUACUUCUAGACUAAGUCCCCUAACAUGCGUCCACCCAAUUCACAUGCACAACACACGCCCAUGCUGUUUAACUCGUAUCACGCAGUUUCAUCAGGUUUGAAACAUGUUGAAACAGGUGAAAACAAGCCUGGUGAAAACUGACAAUUAUAAUAAGGGGCUCAUUGCAUGCGGACAUCAGUCUCACAGGCCUGGUAUAGAACAGCCCUUAGAUAAGAAUGAAGCGGCGGUUAUUAUGUUGUGUCUUUCUCAGUGAGUGCUCAAACGCCCACCCAGUGUUGCCUCUUUGUCACGGCCUCCUCUUCGAAUAGAGUAUUUUUUACAGGGGGUCAGGCCAUCUUACCCUGAAACAUUGGCUCUCUGCAGGGCUAAAAGAAACUCCCUGAACACUCAUUGAUUCCUCUAUCACCGACGUGUGUAGACUGCCGCUGCCGUGACCCUGUCUUUAAAGAACAUGAAAUUUAGCAGCCACUGAAUUUUUCUCAUGGAAAUAAUCCGACUACGCAGGAGACCACCACAUAGUCACAAAGGACAUUCAGGCAACAGGAAAGUCUUGUCAAAGAGGGGAGUUGAGCGUAUACAUUCAGGCGUAACUUAAACAUGAGAGCGAACAGGGCAGGCACCACUCAGCAUAGUAAUACCAUCCGCGUCAGGAGAAAAAAAAAGAGUCAGAUGUCUGAAGCACGGGGAACCAAGAACUUGCAGCAUCUGCCCUCCGUGCAGCAGGAGCGGACAAAGCUCUGUUGUCAAUUUACCUUGCCCCAGGAAAUCCAAGGAAAGGGAGAUUGCCUCUCUCCCUACAAAAGAUAUGUGGACCUGUUUAUCUCCUAAUUGAUUCUCCGAGGAAGACAGAGAUUGACGGUCUCAGUCUGACAUUGUCAAACUUCUGGAGGAGCAAGGCCAUGCAUUAUACAUAAAUAAAACAUAAAUCCGCUCCUCAUUCAUAUGCAUGCGCUUGUGGCUAAUUUAUUCUUUUAAUUUCAUGGUGUGUCUAGUUACAGUAGCGCGCCCAGGAAAAGUGGACGUGACCAAAUAGCCUCUCCCUUUUUUUCAGACAUUUUGUUUUAUAUGAUGCUCUCCUUGAGCCUCGGCUGACAGGGUUGGUCUGAUGAGGGGGGAGAGAUUGGCAGAACACCACAGUGCCUUAACCAGGCGCACUCUGUGACAUUAACACACUCCCCCCCUGUCCCUGCUCACACAGAAAUGAACAUCUCCUGAUUCACCGCUGACAACCAGCUACAUUUAUCCUAAUAUUAAAGACCGGCAUUAUUACAGCUCCUGUUGGCUUUUAUAACAGGCUAGCACUGGCAAGGGCAUAUUAACGUAUAACAUGAAGGGAAAAUGAUGACAGCAGGGAUUAAAACAGACCCUGGGUUGGUGAUACAGCCGGCUAAUCGCUCUGCCACUGCCCUUCUCUUCUUCAGUGUGUUGUUUGACGAGACCCAGCUCUCCCCCUGAUUGAUAUAAUAGUGAGUAACACAUACUCCACAUUCCUUACCGCUUUGACCUGACAAUUAUAGAGUGGUGACAAGGACAAAAACCCACAGCUCCGUCCUUGUCUGUCAAGUGUAAUUUCCAUGGGUCAAGAUGAAAGUCCGGCACAUUUGUCACGGCCCGUUGUGAGUCCUGUAACAAAGUGUUAAUGGAGCACCUCUUUAGCCGGCCACUGUCAGACGGCUGAAUCCCAGUCGCCAGCCCGAAGACUUCUUCACAAAGCAACGUUUUUCAGACAGACACAUCUGUUAUGUUGAUUAUGAGCAUCCAGACUACUGUAGAAGGCAUUAGAGAACCCAGCCGGGGACAUAAUAAGACUUUCAUGCAAAUUCUUGGGCAUGGACUUGGAAUGAGUAGUUGGAAUGGAUUCUGUCCUUGGUUUUGCAGCAGUUUGAUUGGCAGGUUUAAAGGAUCUCAACUUUAAAAACACAUGGUUGUCUGAAUGGGCUUCAUGCUGCUAAUCUUUAUCCAAAAACAAUAUUUAAAUACGACACAGGUUAUACUACAUAAUACAUUAAUGUAAUGUAGCAUUUAAUUCGUUUUAAAAUGUUAAGUGGCAAUAUAUACGAAUAUUUAGAAAAUGGUCUUUGACAGUUAAAGAAAAACUACUAUGACCUGCCAAUACCAAGUCUCCUGAUAGGUGGUUUAACAGAAUAAUGUCUAGCUGAAAGAUAAAAAAAAGCACUUGACAAGUGACUUCAUUGUCAGUCAUGACAUGGAAAUCUCACAAAGUUUUAACAACAGAGCUAAACAGAAAUCAAGACUGAAGGGAAGGGAAGUGCUUGGAGACUGAGAGGUCUAUUAUUGGACCAGCUGUACAGACGUGGCUCUCAGCAUUUCCUUCACCAGUCAAACAAUUAUGUCGACGCCAAAAAUGAAUUACAGGACCUCACAACAAAUAAACAUACAAAUAAACAAAACUACUCAAAUAUAUUUCAAUCGCAUACUCAUAUACAGUACUUUAACUCAAAAUGAUGGUCACACAGUUGCUAACAUGUCCUGUAAUGUGUUUGGGAACUGGGUGUUGUUCAUUACCCCUUAUUCAUUUAAUAAUGCUGUUGUAAUAAACGGAUUAGUUACAACUAACAUCCAAUUACAGUUAAAUGAAGCGAUACAUGGGCGAUAUGUUAUGACACUUGAUAAACCACGAUGUGUAAAACUAGUGCUUACUUUCUCAGACUCAUUCAUUCUGGUAAUUAGAAACUCAUAGUGACUAAGACCAGGCUCGUUUGCAGCAAAUCUCAUCAGGAAAUGAAAGAGUUCACUUCACUCCAAAAAGAGGUCACAUGUAAUCAACUACAAGUAGCUUCUCAGAGGCAAUUGUUUCCCAUAAUGUUGUUCUUGAAUCAAGUCUCUGACACAACAAACUAUACUUCACACUUGCUGUGUGGUUUCAUAUAGUUUGUAUGCUGUCUAUACAGUCUCACUGCUCUAUAUAUGGAAAGUGUAUAUACUCAUACGCCCCCCUUUGCAAUCAUUUACACAUGUAGUCCCAGGCGUAAACAUCCAUACGUACAGACACAGACACGACGGAGAUAUCAGGAGGCCUAAUUAUUCUUUACCCUUGGCAUCUUUAAGUGAUUCCCAGUCACAAAUGCAUGCUCAACUGUGAAAGAGAGGCUGUCUAGGGGAUGAUUACUAUGCAAGGCAAACAGCUUUUAAGCCCUUCACACGAGAGGCAAAAAUAUGCUCACUCCUCCAACAAUAAAUUUCAGCCGCAGACUAACCCACGCUUUUAGUUAGACCAUGUAGCCAAGGGUACACGUAGCUGGACCAGAGCAAGUGUAAUAUAGGUUACAUAACGCACAUCACACCACAGAUCUCAGCAGUGAAAGUCAAAAGGACAUAUUUUCAAUAGCUGAAAUGCCAAAUGUUCAGGGUAAAAUAUUUCCUACCUUGUGAGGGCUUGUCCUUUGUGGUAUAUUUAGCAGUUGGUCUGUGCUAAACCUGCUGCUUACAGGGCAACUUUUUACUGGGUGUUUG
ensembl:lncRNA